rnacentral:misc_RNA from 1 species
GUGACUAAAUUUUCAUGUCCAUCAGAAGUUGAUUGCAACUGCAAAAGGUUUUGAAAGGGCCAUCCAACGGCGGGCGUCCCCGCCGAGGAAGCAAAAAAAGGUACGCAUAAGCAAAGGGUACGGAAAGGGCGCGAGCGCCCCCGUUUAAUCAGGUCAACCGAAGUUUUCCUGGUCGUGUAAUGAUCCUUCCGCAGGUUCACCUACGGAAA